UAUAUAAAUAUAAUGAUUUUUUUUAAGGAAUAUGGUUGCAGCAAAACAGAAAGGAUCCAAAAGUGGUUAGGAACCUGGUCUAAUGCACUUUUGAAAA